rnacentral:lncRNA from 1 species
UUUUUUUUCGAUAUCAUGUUUAAGCGCUACAUUAUUUGUGGUUGAUCUGGGACGCGAGGAUUCUUCGAUUUUGUUACCUCUCUGAAAUUAGUAGGAUUCAUUUUUUUAUAAUCUUUUUCCUAAUUAAUCUUUGUAAAUAUUUUCAAUUUCUGUAAAUUACAAUGUAAAUCUCAAAAUGUGAUUAAUUUUUUUCUUUUUUCUUUUUUAAAUUAUUUAGUAAGAAUUAGAAUUUUUUAUUUUUUAAAUUAUUUAGUAAAAAUUAGCAUCUAAAUGAACUAUUUGGUUGUACUACAAUGAUAAAUAUAUGCAGAUUUAUCAUUUUGUACUUUACCGUUGCCUUAAAUAGAUGCCAAAAUUUUGUGAUAAUUGACAAAUAUUGCGUCAAUUACCAAAUUUGCAAUGUAAAAAGAAAUAUAAAAUUAAAUAAAAGAGAUCUCUUACUUCGUUAAUAAUAUUAAAAUUGAUUGGUUAUUAGAUAGUUUCUUUGGUUUUGUUUCUCUUUUUCUUUAAUUUAUGAUUUGUUUCUCAUUAAACUAUUUCCAUACUAUUUAUAAUAUAGUAUGGACUCCAUAUUCGAGUAUUUGCAUACUUAUUUCUGUUUGAAUGUGUAAUGAAACAACAUAUAAUUUAUACUUUUUACUCAAUUACCAUUUUUAGUUUGGAAUCUUAAUUAUUCUUGAUUUGAUAAAAUAUCCACUGUUGAGUUGUAACGUAUUGAAACCUAGAUAGAAAAUGACGAACUUUAGGCAAACUGACUAAAGUGCGCGAAUGGAUUAAUUGGGCGAGUUCCAAUUAACCUACCAACACUGUUGGGAGGGUUAAAAAUGAGUUCUAUAAGUGUUAGAAGGGUUUUGGCAUCGAUCAGCGCAAAAUAGAAUCGAGACGGAGCCAAAAAUCAGGUCUGGAGCAAUGUGUACCGGUACAGCAAGCGACCUGUCACCGGUUACACAUGCUGAAACCGGUGACACGAAAAAGUGUACCGGUACACUUUGGGCGAAACUGACAGAUCUGCUCUCGGGUUUGCCUAUGCGUAGUCGUGUAACCGGUGACACGAAAAAGUGUACCGGUACACUUUGGGCCCGACAGCAAAACGAGGUCUGCUGCAAAAUAUAAAGAUUGGGAGGGUUUUUUGGCAAAUGUUACAACAUGUUAAUAGCCCAAUACCCCUUCCCCUCACAGCCAACACCCAUUUCACCCUCUCUCUCAUUUUCCUCUCUUUCUCUCUCUAGAAAGCAAGCCCUAGAGCUUGGAGAAGGUGGAGAAGAGCUUGGAGAAGUGGAUUUUGGUGGCUUUGGUGGUCCUAGAAGCUCUCCAACAAGUAGGCUUUGGUGGAGCUUGGGCAAAGGUGAGUCCUUAUGCAAAAAUGAGUUUAGGGUUUGGGUUUAGACCUUAGAUUUUUGGGUUUUGAUCUCUCUACAAGUGAGGAAAUCCUCUAAGGACCAUGACUCCAUGAAAAACAUGGAUUUCUUAGACCCCUCUCAUGGUGGAUCACUAGGGCUCAAAGUAGAUGCCCUAGGGAUGGUUCUAAAAGCUUAGAAACCUUAUUAGAGAGCUUCCCAUGUGAAUCUAAGCUAUCUUUUGCUUAGGAAUGAGAUCAAUCUCGGAGAAAUGCAAAAAUAACAUGUUAGGGCAUCCCAAAGAGGGGUUUUGCCCAAGUUGGGUUUUGAUCUAUUUUGAUCAUGUAGAAACCUAAUUGAGGGUAUUUUAAACGCGUUGGAACGCUCGGUUCGACAAUCCGACGAGUGUACGCAAAGUUAUUAACAAAAACGUCAUUUUCCGUACAGAUAGCCGCAGCACGCGGACUAGGGCUUCAAAAAUUCCAAGAAAUUCACCGUAGCAUCCUUGUGACCAUCUAAGGUGGGUGGUGCAUUCCAAGGACAUCGGAAAUCCCUUUAUGUCUAAAGCGUCAUAUUUGAGCAUAUGUAUUUAUAUUGAGCAUGUUGCAUAGUAGGGUUAAUUGUAAAUUUUCUUUGCAUGAUAUGAGUUCUAAUGCUUGAGAAAUAGUAGUAAAUGAAUGAGAAUUGGUAACCCUAUAUAUGCAUGACAAGGGACAAGAACCUAGAAGGGUUAGUAAACAAAUGUGACAUGUUGACAUAGAUUUAGCAAGUGACAUUGAUGAGUCUAGAGGACUUAGAAAACAAGUGUGGCAUCAUUGACAAAGAACAAGAACAAGUAGUGACAUUAUGACAUAAACACCUUAGAAUUAAGGGUCAUAUGUACAUGGUUCUCCUUGAAGUCAAGGAAUGGAUUGAACUUAAAAUCCUUAAAGUUAAGGAUUGAUCGUACUCACCUAAUAGUCCUUGCUCGAGGGCGGUAGCUCCCCCUCGGGCGAUGUGCUCCGGAGUUGUCAUCACUGGGUCGUAGCGGUUAUCUCCCCAGAGGGCGGUCCCGUCGGGUUGUAGCGGUUAUCUCCCCGACAAUAGGGAUUUGGGUUGGUGAGUUUGUGAGGGCGAAACCUACGGGCUAGCCAUGAGAUUGGGUAAUGAAAAGUUAAUCUUGCAUUCAUCAUGAGCAUUCUAUCGAGCAUAGUUUUAUUUAUUGUUCAGGCAUAUUAGCUGCAUUUGUUAGUUGGUUAUUAUCUAUUCUUUCUUCUAUUAUGCCUGAUUAGACCUAGUGGGAUAGUCGGCGUGGUUGGUUGCCGAACCCACUGGGAACUUUGUUGUAGUUCUCACCCCACUAUUUCCACAGAGCCGGGACCGAGCGAGCCGGCAGAUGAUCGCGGUAAGGGCAUCGCGCCCUAGGUAGAGACCGCCCGAGAUGGAUUUCAUUUUGUAGUUGCACACCCUUUACUAUCAUCUUUUGUAUUUGAUGAUUUUAGUAUUAUGAACUUGCUUUAAUGAAUGAUGUAAAGGAUAUUUACUUUAAAUGUCAAAUGUUAUAUUUUGGGAGAAAUGAGAUGUAAAAAGAAAUGACGCAAGAAUGUGACAGAACUUGAUUAUAGUUGGAUACAUGUAUGUGAUUUAAAUUUAGUCAUAUUACUUGUAUAUUGAAUGGUUAAUUCUUUCACCUUGGCUAUUGCUUGCCCACGUGCAAGCCAUUGUGUAUGCUUCCGCUUAUGCAAAUUUGUACUCUAUCGAUACUAGUGUUGAGCCUUGGGCGGACAGGGGAAGCUCUGUCCGUUCGGCGUCUGUUUGACGCUCUCGAACCGGCCAAAAAGGAUCGGGCUCGGGGCGUGACAUGAGUGGCCGUUGCUAUUGCAUGCCAAUAGCCGCACAAUUAUUUUGAUACAGACAUCUCAAUAUAGGGCAACCAAAACAUUCAUGGAUUAUAGUUUGAUUAGUCAAGUUAUGAAUGGUAGUUACAUUCAGUCUUUACACAACAACUCAUUUACAAUUUUAAAGUUUGUUUUUAAUCAAUUCUUUAUAUUUAUAGAGAACUAAUUAAAAUGUAUGCAUUAAAUCAUUUUGGCACACUAUCCUUAACCGAGAUAUAUAGAGAAUUUAUUAAAGUGUUAUAAAGGACAUUAAAAUACAUGUAAUUAAAUUAUUUGGCACAUUAUCCUUCUUUUGUGUCUCGAUGUAUAAGCAAAUGUUUCAUGUUAACUAAUUAGCAAAUUGUUUUGCUUAAAUAUUUUUGCAGUUAAACUACGGCAACAAAGCAGGCCGAACAAAUAAUAUCGAGGCACAAAGAAAGGAUGCGUAUUUAUAUAUAACUAUGAACGUGGAAGAGAAAGAACACCACGUACUAGCAGUUCAACUUUUUGUCGAGUCCCUCACAAAAUUCAACUUAUUACCACUUUACUACUAUUUUUAUUUAUUUUAUUUUAAAAUUUGUGGUUACUGUAAAAGUAUUUAUACUUCUUGCUGUUCUAUUCGUAUUAUGUUGGAAUUAUAAACUAUUUUACAAUUGUUUCUGCUUUGUCUGUGCAUGUAUUUUUUUAUCUUUUUUGAUUCAGGCAUUGGACGAUGGUUGCGUGUUGUGUGUUUUAGUUUUUUUUUUUUUUUAAUUUAUACUCUUCUUAUAUCCUUCUUUCUAAAUUUCUGCUUUUUUAUCUAUUGAUUUUUACUAUUUAU